rnacentral:tRNA from 1 species
AGCAGCGUGACCUGGUGGAAGGAGCCUGGGCCUGGGAGUCAGAGGACCUGGGUUCUAAUCCCAGCUCUGCUA